CAAGAGCUGUCAUCAGCAAAAUCUUCAUCUUUUUGUAGACUGGUGGUAAACCAGUUGAUGCCUGGAGCUGUACACAUCUACAUUUUUUUCUCAUCAUGAAAUCGUGGCAGUGCCAAGCAGGAGAAGUGAUAGAAGGAAUCUUAAUUUGAUACCAGUGUCUGUAAAAUCAUUCACAGAAGUUGGAGUGUACUACAGAUUAGCUCCAAAUUCUUCAGACUCUUUUCGGAGACACCAGUGCUCAGAACUCGAGGCACAGCUUUUCCCUUAUGUAAAAUGGAGGUAACAAUACCAGCCUACUUCAAAGACAAAAUUCAUCAUUGUAAAAUGCUUUCUAAGAUGUUGAUUUCACCUACAAAUUAUAAACUGUUAAAUGGAAUGGUUUCCAGCAUGAUACUUUAAAACGAGGUGUCCACUGAUGACUUAAGUGACCUCCAUAUUUGCUACAGUGUUGUGCAAAAGUAAUUUCUGAACUUCCUUUGACUGGCAAGAGUAAAUAUGUUUUUGAAACUUGUUAACAUCCUUUUAGCAGAUACCAUUAUCACCAAAAUCCAGGAGUAACAGUUUUGGGAAUUGUGAAAUAUAGAGUGAAACCUGCUGGUGAUUUAUUUAGACUUUAGUCUGACGUUGCUUUCAGCAUAGAGAGCAGGAGAGAGCAUGACCAAUAUAAGGAAGAGAAUUUUGGCAAAUAUGUGAUGCAAGAUGAUGAGGUAAUGAUGUGGCCUGUAUUUAAAUUGUGUUAGUCACUCUAAUAUCAUGCCUCUCCAUAUACAUGCAUGUCCACGUGCUGACCUGUAUUAUGCUAUAUACGUAAUCAAGGUAUCUGGUGAGUCGUACUGUGUACCUGCAAUCAGAAUCUGAAGUGCCUGAAGAAAGACAACAAAUGCUGCCAGUCUUGUUGAAGUUUCUGCUUUCCCAUCUUAGAAAUAUACUCACAGGAGCCACUCUCAACUGUGAAAAUGACUGGAUAAUUAAACAGAACAAAGCAGGAAGGAAAAAACAAAACAAAAAAAUUGGUGGUUCGAGAACCUAACUCCUAGGGUGGACCACUUUUGCUUAACCAAAGUCAGAAAGCCUCUUGCAUAAGGCUUUAAUAAUACUGAAUUGUUCUCCUUUUCUACAUCACCCCUUGCUUUACUUGAACAACUGAAGUCUGAGGUAGCAAAGGCAGUGCUGUCCUGCUUUUGGAAAUUCCAGCCACAUUAUUCCCUUUGGCCACCAUACACCCUUGAAGAAGGGCCCUCAGCCGAAACAAAUUCUUUCUCUCAAGCAUGGAAGCAUUUAAGACUUUUUUGUUCCUAUUAAACUAGAGAGGCAGUCUCAGUUUAAUAAUAGGAACUAGAAUUGAGCAAAAACUGCAGAGUGAAUAUUCACCAUGAUGGUAGUCACAGCCUUCUGUAUUCAUGUAAACGAAUGUUCCCAUAUAAAUGGAGAAUAUCCAGCAAGUGAAUUUUAGUUGAUUUGAAUAGUUACAGAAAAUGUGGCAUGCAAACAUGCUUGCAAAGCGGCACGGGUUCAAAAGUUUGAACAGGAAGUGCCUUUGUUUGGAAUAUCUUCCUUUUUUUAAAAUAAACGUUUGAGUCACUGAGUGAAAAAGUAGAAACGUGAAUGAUGGAACUAAUCGUACAGCACAAGCAACAAAUACUAAAAUACUUUUAGACUCCAAUCUAAUGAAGCAUUUAUGCAUAUGUUGGGUAGGGCUAGGUACUAAAAAUUAUUGUAAAAUCAAAAGAAGAAUGCCUACAUCCCUCAGUAGAUACAGGCUA